rnacentral:misc_RNA from 1 species
UUAAGUUCAGCGGGUAGUCUCACCCGAUUUGAGGUCAAGGUUCAUGGGUCAAAGUGGCGAUCACUUGACCGUUUGUCUUCUGUGAGACGGUUAGAAGCAGGAGUGCAAAACCCAAGACGUAGAAAAUAUCUUAUCACGUCAAGGAUCGGCAAAGCAGACCCCACUAAUUCAUUUCAGAGGAGCUGGCUCCAACAAAGGAA